rnacentral:rRNA from 1 species
AAUAUUGCACAAUGGGCGCAAGCCUGAUGCAGCAACGCCGCGUGCCCGAGGACGGCCUUCGGGUUGUAAAGGGCUUUUUUGGCUGGCGAGGAAGGACGGGAGGCCAGGAACAAGCGGUGGCUACCCAUGUGCCAGCAGACGCGGUAAAACGUUGGACGCCAGCGUGAUCCGGAUUUACUGGGCGUAAAGCGCGGGCAGGCGGUGGUCCAAGUCGGACGUGAAAGCUCCCGGCUCAACUGGGAGAGGUCGUUCGGAACUGGGCCGCUAGAGGGCAGUAGAGGGGCGUGGAAUUCCGGGUGGAGUGGUGAGAUGCGUAGAGAUCCGGAGGAACACCAGAGGCGAAGGCGGCGCCCUGGGCUGCACCUGACGCUGAGGUGCGAAAGCGUGGGGAGCAAACAGG